UGUCCUGGACUGGAGAAGAGCCUUCUAAUAAUAUUUAUUCAACUUAUAGAAAUAAAGUUCUGCUAGGUUUUUUCUGUAGCAAAUAAAUAUUGUAUAAAAUAUUUAAAAUUACCUACAUUUUUGAUGUUUACAAUGCCCAUUUUGUGUAAUACUGGAAUUUCCCACUACCCAUGAACGCCUCAUCUUUUACCUGACUGGCUGACCUCUGCCUCUCCGCACACUUCGUUGAGUCCGCUCUCGAGUGAAAUAAAGCUUGGUUUUGCCUUUGCUGAGUGAAACAGAACUUCGGUUUUGCCUUUGCUGACUGCUGAUCUGAUCGUCUCAAGUCUGGUGACCUGCUGCAGAAGAUCCUCUCUCUCUAUCAUUAUAAGCAAUUCUGUCUAUCCUAUCACUCUCCCGACUCUAUCUAAUUUGACAGCCAUUCCAUCUUGUAUCCCUCUAUCCUCUACUGCUCUAUCUAAUUUGACAGCCAUUCCAUCUUGUAUCCCUCUAUCCUCUACUGCUCUAUCUAAUUUGACAGCC